AUUGAACGCUGGCGGCAUGCCUUACACAUGCAAGUCGAACGGCAGCACGGGUGCUUGCACCUGGUGGCGAGUGGCGAACGGGUGAGUAAUACAUCGGAACAUGUCCUGUAGUGGGGGAUAGCCCGGCGAAAGCCGGAUUAAUACCGCAUACGAUCUACGGAUGAAAGCGGGGGACCUGCGGGCCUCGCGCUAUAGGGUUGGCCGAUGGCUGAUUAGCUAGUUGGUGGGGUAAAGGCCUACCAAGGCGACGAUCAGUAGCUGGUCUGAGAGGACGACCAGCCACACUGGGACUGAGGCACGGCCCAGACUCCUACGGGAGGCAGCAGUGGGGAAUUUUGGACAAUGGGCGAAAGCCUGAUCCAGCAAUGCCGCGUGUGUGAAGAAGGCCUUCGGGUUGUAAAGCACUUUUGUCCGGAAAGAAAUCCUUGGCCCUAAUACGGUCGGGGGAUGACGGUACCGGAAGAAUAAGCACCGGCUAACUACGUG
rnacentral:rRNA from 1 species